AGCUGUCAAUCUGAAGCUGGCAGCAACGCAGAGAUCGGCCAGAGGUCUGCUGCGUAGAGGAUUGAGACAGAAGUGGAGGAAGGAAGAGAGGGAAAAAGAGAGAGAAAAGAAAGGAGAGAGUGAGAGACUGAUGGAAGGCUGGAGAGGAUUAAGACAAAGUGAAAGCAAGAAAUCUGGCAUUCCCCCCUCGUACUGUAUCGACAAUGAGAUGUGAUCACAGUCUUGCCCUGAGGGGGAAAAAGGAAGCACCGUCUCUCCCCCGACCGCGUGAAGAAGACGUUCACAGAGCCAGACAUAUCCGCAGCCAAGACGAGAGCCUUUCCUGUGGCGGAAUCUCCAGAGCUGAAGAGCGGGUCACGGUACACAAGGGAACGUGAGUCACUCCAUCACACCGCUGGCCGGGGCAGCGCCGACGACACGCAUUCAGGGCUGAGUAAUGCCGGCUCCCGCCGGACCCCCCUCCUGACGGCCGUAAUGGUGAUGGAGAAAUCAUCCCUUUGGAGCCUAGGGGUGGGGGAAUGAAGAGGGAUGCUCACUGGACAAAUGGUGUCUUGUGUGAUGACUGCUGUUUGGGAUUGGCUCUGUGUGCCGCAUAGCAUCCGUGUGCACUCUUACAUCAGAUGACUAAUGCUAGUAUAUUUAAACUUUGUAAACUCAUAAUACA